rnacentral:RNase_P_RNA from 1 species
UUGUGAAAACGGAUAGCCGCUGUUGCUUCGUGCAGUAGAGGAAAGUCCGGACUCCGUGGAGGUAAGUGCCAGAUAACGUCUGGCAGCGCGAAAAGGCGCUAGGGAAAGUGCAACAGAAAGUAUACAGCCUUCGGGUAAUGGUGAAAUGGCGAGGUAAGAGCUCACCGCGCAGCUGACAACAGCUGUGGUACGGCAAACCCCACUUGGAGCAAGAUCAAGAAGAGUAACGCCAUCCUCCAGGUUAUGUUAUUCGGGUAGAUCGCUUGACGUUUGCGGCGACGUAAAUGCUAGAUGAAUGGCUAUCGGGACAAUAUGUCUUACAAAAUCCGGCUUAUAGUUUUCACAAAAAC